rfam:Lactobacillus vaccinostercus DSM 20634 NODE_8, whole genome shotgun sequence.
UCGUUUGGUAAUUGACAUCGAUUAGUCGUUGGUAAUUACCAAGGAGUACUUCAUUAAAGCAGCGUUUCGCCGUGCCCACACCGAGACCCUGCUUUUUUAU